rnacentral:rRNA from 1 species
CCUACGGGGGGCAGCAGUGAGGAAUAUUGGUCAAUGGGCGCGAGCCUGAACCAGCCAAGUCGCGUGAGGGAUGACGGUCCUACGGAUUGUAAACCUCUUUUGCCGGGGAGCAAGCGUGCGUUCGUGAACGCGCGUCGAGAGUACCCGGAGAAAAAGCAUCGGCUAACUCCGUGCCAGCAGCCGCGGUAAUACGGAGGUGGCAAGCGUUAUCCGGAAUUAUUGGGCGUAAAGAGCGCGCAGGUGGUUAAUUAAGUCUGAUGUGAAAGCCCACGGCUUAACCGUGGAGGGUCAUUGGAAACUGGUUGACUUGAGUGCAGAAGAGGGAAGUGGAAUUCCAUGUGUAGCGGUGAAAUGCGUAGAUAUAAGGAGGAACACCAGUGGCGAAGGCGGUCUGCUGGACAGCAACUGACGGUGAGGCGCGAAAGCGUGGGGAGCAAACAGGAUUAGAUACCCCAGUAGUC